rnacentral:rRNA from 1 species
UAGACCUCAAAUCAGUCAGGACUACCCGCUGAACUUAAGCAUAUCAAUAAGCGGAGGAAAAGAAACUAACAAGGAUUCCCCUAGUAACGGCGAGUGAAGUGGGAAAAGCUCAACUUUGAAAUCUGGCUGCUUUGCAGUCCGAGUUGUAGUUUCGAGAAAUGUUUUCCGCGUCAAUCCAUGUAUGAGUCUGUUGGAACACAGCGUCAUAGAGGGUGAGAACCCCGUUCAUGGCAUGGCUUUUGAUGCUUUGUGAUACAUUUUCGACGAGUCGAGUUGUUUGGGAAUGCAGCUCAAAUUGGGUGGUAAAUUCCAUCUAAAGCUAAAUAUUGGCGAGAGACCGAUAGCAAACAAGUACCGUGAGGGAAAGAUGAAAAGCACUUUGGAAAGAGAGUUAAAAGUACGUGAAAUUGUCGAAAGGGAAACGAUUGAAGUCAGACGUGCAUGGUAUUCAUUACCUUUGCAGGCCAACAUCGGUUUUGCGAGUCGGAUAAAGGUAGAGAGAAGGUAGCAGUCUCGGCUGUGUUAUAGCUCUUUACUGAAUACGAAAUGUGAGACCGAGGGACGCAGUGCGCCGCAAGGCAAAGGGUUCGCUCUUUACGCACUUAGGAUGUUGGUGAAAUGGCUUUAAACGACCCGUCUUGAAACACG